AGCAUCCCUGGAGGAUUCCCAGCCCUCACCUAUAUGGCAGUUGUACAUCCAGAUGCGCUGCCCGUCGUAGCGGCUCCGGCAUUUCAUGACAUUGUUGGAAUAAUCUGACUCUGCCACCUCGUAGUUGGGGUUGAUCACCACCUGGGAGGGAUGGAGGGAUGAGGGUGGGGUUGUUGAAAAGGGAAUUUGGCAGGAGGAAGAAUCAGUUUGGGUUUUUAUAGUAUUUUAAUAGCAGGAGAUGAAAAUACAAUUUAUUUUGGAAACAGAGAGAGGUGACUCAAAUAAAGCCAGAUCAGGGAAUGGAGCCUCAGUCAGGGAAUCCUGGAAUGGUUUGGGUUGGAAGGGAUUGAAAUCCCAUCCAGUGCCACCCCUGCCAUGGCAGGGACACCUCCACUGUCCCAGGGUGCUCCAACCUGGCCUUGGGCACUUCCAGGGAUCCAGGGGCAGCCACAACUUCUCUUGGAAUUCCAGCCCAGCUCUUUCCCACUCUCACAGGCAGGAAUUCCUUCCUAAUAUCCCACCCAAAUCUCCCCUUUCCCAGUGGGAGCCAUUCCCUGUGUCCUGUCCCUCCAUCCCUUUUCCCCAGCCCCUCUCCAGCUCUCCUGGAGCUCCUUCAGGCCCUGCAAGGGGCUCUGAGCUCUCCCUGGAGCUUUCCCUUCUCCAGGGGAACAUUCCCACUUCCCUCAGCCUUUCCUCCCAGCAGAGCUCCUCCAUCUCUAAUUCACCACAGCCACACUUCCCCCAUGCCCCCAAAUCUCCCUCCAAAUCCCCAUUUUCCAUUUUCCCACAGCUCAGACAGAGAGAAUUGCUCUUCUUUCCCUCCUCUCCAGUGCCAAGGGCUGGUUUUGGACACAGAGAAUUCCCCCCAUGGGCAUGGACUGGAGACCUGGCCCUAAUUCCUACAAAAGCCCCACAAAUGGCACCGUUUAAUCCCAAAAUUCAGGAAAUGUUGCUUCCAGCAACAAACCAGCUCCAAAGAGGGAUGCUGUGCUUUGGGAAUGUGACAACACUGCCAACAACAUCAGCUGGGCUGGGCCUAUCCAGAAUUAGCUGGACCUGGAUUUUUUAAAGACUUUCAUCUCCAAACUGUGCUCAU
rnacentral:lncRNA from 1 species